UGAACGCUGGCGGCAGGCCUAACACAUGCAAGUCGAACGGUAACAGGCUGUAUGGGAUCCCUUCGGGGUGAACUUGGCGCUGACGAGUGGCGAACGGGUGAGUAACACGUAGGAAUCUACCCAGGAGUGGGGGACAACCCGGAGAAAUCCGGGCUAAUACCGCAUACGCCCUACGGGGUAAAGUGGGGGACCUUUUCGAAGGCCUCACGCUUCUGGAUGAGCCUGCGUCGGAUUAGCUUGUUGGUGAGGUAAUGGCUCACCAAGGCGACGAUCCGUAGCUGGUCUGAGAGGAUGACCAGUCACACUGGGACUGAGACACGGCCCAGACUCCUACGGGAGGCAGCAGUGGGGAAUAUUGGACAAUGGGGGCAACCCUGAUCCAGCCAUGCCGCGUGUGUGAAGAAGGCCCUAGGGUUGUAAAGCACUUUCAGUGGGGAAGAAAAGCCUAAGGUUAAUAACCUUGGGUCUUGACGGUACCCACAGAAGAAGCACCGGCUAAUUCC
rnacentral:rRNA from 1 species